UAUUCCUUCAAGGAACCGCACUAUAUUUAUUUGAUGGGCCAGUGGGUUAAUAUAAAGCACAACACACUAUGAAUUGGUGCAUAUUGUUUGUAUUAAAAAUGGGCACUUGGUCAAAAGAAACUUACUAUAAAUAGAAGACACAUUAAGGGCUACAUUCACAAUCACCAACAACAAAAACAAACACUAAAUUUAAGCAAAGAAAUAUAAAUUACCUCCCAAAAACAAUGGAGACCAAAGUUGGGUACAAGAAGAUCAUCCUUUCUGUAUUUUUCAUCCUUGCAACAGUGAUGCUGCAAAUCCUUGCUGUGAAAGCACAACAAGACGGUGAAAACCCAUUAUGUGAGGAACAUUUUGGGCACUCAUGCAGCCCUGGUGCUAGACCUUGUUGUGCUCAUACUGGACGUCAAUGUGUAGCUACCUCUUCUAAUGGCUUCCAUUGCCAGUAAACACCAUUGCUCGGCCGCCCGCCGCCCAUCUCAACAAUGGUGUCUAUGUUACUCUACUCCACUGCUAGCUAUUCAUGGACUACCCUUCUAUGUAUUAUCAUCAUAAUUAUGUCUUUUAAUUAAUUAAUGUUGGUAUUAAUUAAGUUAAGUGCAAGUGUGUGAUCUUAAUUAUUGUCUUUAAUUAACCAUUAUAUAUAUAAUGGAAUUGUGUACUGGCAGUGGUUGAUUUGUGUCAUAAAUAAAAUUGAAAACCUUGUUUUUUCA